AAGUCGUAACAAGGUUUCCGUAGGUGAACCUGCGGAAGGAUCAUUACUGAGUUUAGAGGCUGUAAAAGGUCUCAACUCCCACCCUAUGUGUAACGAAUUGAACCGAGCAGGAGACUGUGAGGGACAAUCAACUCUUUUUAUGUUUUCGAUUUGUUUGACUUGCGGGUUUAUACCUUGCGGGAGAAACAAUUCAAAACAUGAAAAAACCCAAAAAAAAAUCAAAACUUUCAACAACGGAUCUCUUGGUUCUG
rnacentral:misc_RNA from 1 species